GCUGGGAGUUGUGGCAGCCCUGUAAUCCCAGCUACUUGGGAGGCUGAGGCAUGAGAAUUGCUUGAACCCGGGAGUUUGAGGCUGCAGUGAGCUGUGAUCAUGCCACUGCACUCCAGCCUGGGUAACAGAGUGAGACUAUGUCUCAU
ensembl:misc_RNA Metazoa_SRP Metazoan signal recognition particle RNA